CUACAGGGUUACAUGGCUACAGAGUUACAUGGCUACAGGGUUACAGGGUUACAGGGCUACAGGGCUACAUGACUACAGGGUUACAGGGCUACAGGGUUACAGGGUUACAUGGCUACAGGGCUACAGGGUGACAAAGCUACAUGGCUACAGGGCUACAGGGUUACAGGGCUACAGGGCUAAAGGGCUACAGGGGUACAGGGCUACAUGGCUACAGGGCUACAGGGUUACAUGGCUACAGGGCUACAGGGUUACAGGGCUACAGGGCUACAGGGUUACAGGACUACAGGGCUACAGGGUUACAGGGCUACAGGGUUACAGAGCUACAGGGCUACAGGGUUACAGGGCUACAGGGAUACAUGGCUACAGGGUUACAGGGCUACAGGGCUGCAGGGCUACAGGUUUACAGAGCUACAUGGCUACAUGGCUACAGGUUUACAGAGCUACAGGGCUACAUGGCUAUAGGGUUACAGAGCUACAGGGCUACAGGGUUACAGGGCUACAGGG
ensembl:lncRNA